UCUCCGGAUGGGUGCCCCAGCUAUGCCCCCGGCACCUUCCAUUUGUCUUCUCUCCUUGAGGCUUCCUAUGUUGUGUUUACCCUUUGGUAACUCCCUCCCCCCGUAAGUGGAGAUCUCUGCUAGCUGAUUUCCUAGAUGGCCAGAUCCUGCUUUCCAGUUGGUUCCCUGGAAACAUUUCCGUGAACAAAUGUCUCUCAGCCCCUACAUAUAAAUAUGUCUGCACGGAGAUAGACUGGCCUAAGCCCCCAUACACACACAUCACGAGGUAAUUACACCCUUAUAUACAUACAGAUAUCUCUACAGAGUUAUAUUCACAAGUGUCUAUAACUCCGCGGAGAGAUAGCAGCGUGUACGUAUAGGACUAUAAUUACUUAUGUCUAUUUUUAUAACUAUGUAGUUAUAAAUAGAUAUGCCUAUAUAUAGUGAUAAUAAUAUAGAAAUAUCUCCAUGGCCAUAUAUGGCUCCAAGUGAAUGCUCUAACUACCCUAUAUCACAAUCAAUAAGUAUAUAUCUCCUGAUACAUAAUUCCAGCGAUAUACAUUUAUCUAUAUAGCUGCUCAGAGAUAUAAAUCUGUCAGGAUAUCAAAUGUCCAUAAAACUGGAUGGCUAUAAGAGAGUCGUAUUUUUUCUCGUAUAUAAAUCUGCUUCUGUAACUGUUGUAUAUGCACAAAUACAAUGGAAAUAAUUAUAUUUUCCUCAAGCAUAAAUCUGCAAAUACAAGCACAGCACAUUUAGGUAUGGUUAGAGAUAGAGCGAUAUUUCCCAGACAUCAGUCUGUCAAUAGAGCCACCGGUGCCUCCAAACAGAGAGAGUUAUGUGGGGGUUAUAAAUAAAGUCUCCAGAUGUGAAGGCAUCAGGAGAACUAGGUGGAAACACGGCUCUAAGCCGGCCUUCCUCCUCCUCCUCCUCCUCCUCCUCCUCCUCCUCCUCCUAGAUGUCCCCGAAGUGAGCAGGCUCACCUAGGCCAGGGUGCAGAGGUGUCCGGGCCCUGACAUUCCCCCAAGGAGGGCUGGAGGCCGCUGGGCUCGGGGAGAGGGCCCAGGAGCCCCAGCAGCCCUCUCCGGGGGCUGGGAGCUCGCUCGGGCAGGCGCACGGGCCUGGGGGACAGAAAGGGGGAGCGUGGCUUGAGUCCCUCGGCCCGUCCCAGGCCCGGCAGCGGGGAGCCGGCGGCAGGGCGGGAGGCCCAGCGCCCGGGGCGGCCUGUCCCCUCGCGCCGCUCUGCUCGCCUCCGGCCGAGGAAUUUUACUUUAUUCGCGCUCCCCCGCCCGCCCCAGCCCGCGGGUCCUCAAGGCCAGGCCGCCGGGUCCCCUUUGAAUCUCCGCCCGGCUCCGGCUCGGGCUCCGAGGUGACCCGGGGAAGUGUACUCCUCCGGCCCUUGCAGCCCAGACGGGCACCGGCCGUUGAAAAAGAACCAAAACCUCUGAAAAGGUUCUGUGUUUUCUCUGUUCCCGCUGCAGGACGUGGCCCAGCACCCGGGGCAGAGGCUGAGGGCAGGGCAGGCUGGCGGCAGGCCGGGCCCAGGCUCCAGAGGGCGCGACGGACAGUCAGUCGUUGAGGGCGCUCAGCUGGGCCGCUCCAGUCCUCUCCGAGCCGCCCUCGAGGAAAUCCUAACCAGCUCUCACAAACAUGUCAAGCCCAAAGCUGCUGUGUGUGUUUGAGCGGAGCUUCAGACAGCUACUUAACACCGGGGCCUCCGGGCCUUUGAUUCCUGCGCCCCUCGCCUUGCCCUCUCCCCCCGUCUGGCUGGUGUUUAUCGGCCAAGACGAUGUUUAAAUCACACUCGUUUCCUAUAAACAUUUCACUUGAAAUGCCAUCCGCUGCCCCAGAAAUUCAUCUAUCACCAGCUCGGGGUGUACUUGAGGAGCCUCCGGGCGAUGCUCCCCGUCUCUGUCCCCUGCCCCCCACCCCGCCUCCCCGACCCAUAUUCUCAGGUUUCACGCUGUAAGAACAACUUCCCCUCGGUGUAACAGGGCACUUAGUGCCAGGAUUAUUUAUAAGGCCGAGAUGGCAACGGGCGGUGGGGAGCAGCCCGGCCCGUGGACACUUCCUCUUGCAAAGCUCAAUAAACGGCCUGGAACGCUGUGUGCCA
rnacentral:lncRNA from 1 species